GCGGAUAUGGUGGAAUUGGCAGACACGCAGGUUUUAGGUGCCUGUGCGCGAGCGUAUGGGUUCGAGUCCCAUUAUCCGCACCA
rnacentral:tRNA from 1 species